rnacentral:lncRNA from 1 species
GAUCUUAUCUCCUCCACCAUGCUUAACUCGUUUGAAUCCAUCUGAAACUCUCCACAGACUCAAUUUGAUCUCAAGCACACCAAAAAGCACCAAGAACACAUCAAGAACACCAAGAACACCUCAAUAACACCUCAGAUUUCGAAAAUCAUACAAACACACUCUCCCCUUUGCGCAACCUGGCUCUGAUACCAUAAACACUUUUGUGUUUGUAGUGUGUUUAAUAAUUAAUCUGUGUGAUUUGUAUAAUGUUUAGGAGAUUAAGAG